AGAGAUCCAUUUAAUCUUAUUGACCUAACUUCCUUUAUUUUUCAAAAUUCAGACUGAUUCCGCUGUGGAAAAUAACUGCACUGGCAUGAUAAUGCCCUCGAUGUGGCCUGAAGGGCAAGCCAUCGAAAACAGACCGCAACAUCAACAGCUAUGGCAUGCCGAUGGAUUUCAUCAACCUAUGUGGACUAGGGAAGAGAAUUGUAGCUUCAUAGCACCAGAGAACUCACUAUUAUGUUAUGACUCGACAAAUUCAGGUCCUUUGCUUGCAAAUCAGCUAAAGAUGGAGAUAUGAAAGAGAGCAAAAGCAAAGGUUUUUGCAGUAGUUAGGCAUGAUGUAUAUAUGAUUUAUAGUAGUAGAUAGCGGGGAAGUAGAGAGGAUGGUGUGAAGAGUUCCAACCCAACCGGGUAUCCGCAUUCCCUAAUUAACAGAGAACCAGAAACUCCCAUUGCUCUUAUGUGAGUAUAACAAGUAUGACAUCUAUUUUAUGAAUGAAUACUAACGUAGAGGAAAGCGGAGGAGUCACUUCGUGUGAUGGAUGCUUCGCUUGUUUGUAUGAUGAGAUAAGAUAACGAUUCAUUCAUGCUUGUUUGUAAAGAAAGAUGGACAGUAUUAUUAU